GUCCUGGUCGAGGUCCGGGUCCUGGUCCCGGUCCCGGGCUGGGGACCGAUCCUGGACCCGUUCCCGGUCCUGGUCCAGGUCCCGGUCCAGGUCCUGGCCCCAGGACCUGGACCCGGACCAUGACCAGGACCCAGACCCGGAACCAGACCUGGACCUAUAGCGGGACCAGGACCCGGACCAGGAAUCCGCAACGGGACCCGGACCGGGACCCGUACCCGGAUCAGGACCUGGUCCCGGUCCUGGACCUGGUCCUGGUCCUGAUCCGGGUCCUUGUCCCGGUCCCGGUCUGGCUUCUGGUCCGGGUCCCGGUCCGUGUCCUGGUCCUGGACCUGGUCCUGGUCCUGAUCCAGGUCUUGGUCCCGGUCCCGGUCCGGCUUCUGGUCCGGGUCCCGGUCCGUGUCCGGGUCCUGAUCUUGUUUCUGGUCCUAGUCCCGGUCCUGGUCCUGGUCCCAGAUGUUCUGCUGUAACCCAGUGGACUGGAGGAUCAGAGUUUCAGCCAUAAAUUGGCUCAGUGAUCCGUCCGUGUGUGUGUCUGUGUGUGUGUGUGUGUGUGUGUGUGUGUGUGUGUGUGUGUGUGUGUGUGUGUGUGUGUGUGUGUGUGUGUGUGUGUGUGUGUGUGUGUGUGUGUGUGCGUGUGUGUGUGUGUGUGUGUGUGUUCGUGUGCGGUGGGUGCGUUUGCGUGUGUGUUCGUUUCCCCGAAAACACGUUACCCGCGCUGAGAGGGGCGGCUGAGAGUCAAACCGGUUCAGCUCACUUCCUCAUAACUCUUUGUCGCAGCGUGGAGCCUUUCUUUCUCCGCUUUUUAAACCUUUCACCUGAUUAACUUUUAUAAGGUUAAAGGUUAAAGUGUUUUAUAAACACUAUAACCUCAGUUUCUUACCUUACAUUUAUACUUUUAUUAGGCUACUUUAUACCGUAUGGACGCAUUUUAAUCACGGAAGAGAUACGAUAAGGUCUCCAGUCUACUAUGGAUGAGGAGAGAGAGGAGGGGGGUCCUACCUCUAAGACCGCUCUGUCUGGGGAACAUGGCCGCCGGAGCAAAGCUAAGAGCCCAGAGCAGCAGCAGAGAGCAGACUCCCCUGGACCCAGCUGUGUCUCCAUGAAGAGUGACCACUCUAUGGAACGUCUUCUUAACUUUAAAGAUGGAAAUCAGUCUAUUGAGAAGAGACACCAGAAGAGGUCAAAGGUUACCAGUGCUCAGUCUCUACAGCAGCAUCAAACAGAGCUGAUCAAGAGGGCUGAGGAGAACGCACACAUUUUCCUAGACAAGGAGCUGAAGAAGCUCUGGAGGGAUCUCUUCUCAGAUUACCCACAAUGCUCAGAGGGUCAGAGAGUGGAGGAGGAGGAGGUGGAUGGUAAGAAGGAGGAGCAGAGGAGGCGCGCCAUAGAGGGAGUGGUGGACAUCACAAAGCUCUGCCUGAUGGAGAUGAACCAGGAGGAACUGGCCGACACACUGGGGCGG
ensembl:lncRNA